rnacentral:rRNA from 1 species
UACGGGGGGAGCAAGCGUUGUUCGGAUUUACUGGGCGUAAAGGGCGCGUAGGCGGCACCGCAAGUCGACUGUGAAAUCUCCGGGCUUAACCCGGAAAGGUCAGCCGAUACUGCGGGGCUAGAGUGCAGAAGGGGCAACUGGAAUUCUCGGUGUAGCGGUGAAAUGCGUAGAUAUCGAGAGGAACACCUGCGGCGAAGGCGGGUUGCUGGGCUGACACUGACGCUGAUGCGCGAAAGCUAGGGGAGCGAACGGU